CACUCGUAAAACUGGCGAUAGUUUUGAGGUGGCGUUUGAUAAAUUUCAAUUCAUUUAGGCACAGGCUUAUCAUUUGGUUGCAGACCUUGGUGAAAGUCGUUAGUUGAAAAUUCUUCGCUAGAAAAUGAUGUCGCAAAUUAAGUGUGGUACCAUAUUUUUGGUGUUGGUGCUUAUAGGAACUGCAUCUGCUCUGGUUUGUCACGAGUGCUACAGUGUUACGGAAUGUCGCGGAGCGAGCUAAAACAAAACUGUCACGUGUGACAAGACAAAUUCGGAAGUUACAGCGGUGCGGUUGAGGCCGUAUUACAAGGAUCUGAACGCUUCACUCGAAUACGACGGAGGGUAUCAGUGCACCAAUAUUACGUUCAUAUCUAAGGGUGCUGCUGAUUUGACUGACAUGGUUAAAGGAUGUCUCUUCAAAACCAAAAAAGGACUGUGUGGAUUGGAGCAGACUGCAAUGAACGGAAACUCGACGUGUAUUUCAUGCAAUUCGAACAAGUGUAACGGCGCAGGAAGUCUGAUGUGGAGUGUGAUGUUGUUGAUCGGAGGGUGGGUAAUAAGUUCUAUUGUAGCCUAAGUUUUAGUAACAUAAGAUUACCAAGAAUAAGGAGAUGAACAAAUAGUUUUUGCUUUUCAUGUUGUUAUGGCGUUUGCCCAAGUGAUAAUGUGAGUGAUAACUGGUUGAGGAAUAAAAAUUUGCAAGAUAA